rnacentral:rRNA from 1 species
UUCUAAAUAGAGACCAGUAUGAACGGCUAAAUGAGGACAAACCUGUCUCUAAUAACUAAUCAGUGAAACUGAUCUUCCAGUACAAAAGCUGGAAUAUACACAUAAGACGAGAAGACCCCGUGGAGCUUAAAACAAAGUACUAACUAUAAAGCCCUAGUACCCUGUUUUGAGUUGGGGCGACUUCGGAAUAAAACAAAACUUCCGAGCACAGAACCACCAGUUCAAGCCAAGGCCAACAAGCCUAAGCACAAUACGGACCCGGCCCAUGCCGACCAACGAACCAAGUUACCCCGGGGAUAACAGCGCUAUCUUCUUCAAGAGUCCCUAUCAACAAGAAGGUUUACGACCUCGAUGUUGGAUCAGGACACCCAAAUGGUGCAGCCGCUAUUAAAGGUUCGUUUGUUCAACGAUUAAUAGUC